GACGAACGCUGGCGGCGUGCCUAAUACAUGCAAGUUGAGCGCUGAAGGUUGGUACUUGUACCAACUGGAUGAGCAGCGAACGGGUGAGUAACGCGUGGUGAAUCUGCCUUUGAGCGGGGGACAACAUUUGGAAACGAAUGCUAAUACCGCAUAAAAACUUUAAACACAAGUUUUAAGUUUGAAAGAUGCAAUUGCAUCACUCAAAGAUGAUCCCGCGUUGUAUUAGCUAGUUGGUGAGGUAAAGGCUCACCAAGGCGAUGAUACAUAGCCGACCUGAGAGGGUGAUCGGCCACAUUGGGACUGAGACACGGCCCAAACUCCUACGGGAGGCAGCAGUAGGGAAUCUUCGGCAAUAGACGAAAGCCUGACCGAGCAACGCCGCGUGAGUGAAGAAGGUUUUCGGAUCGUAAAACUCUGUUGGUAGAGAAGAACGUUGGUGAGAGUGGAAAGCUCAUCAAGUGACGGUAACUACCCAGAAAGGGACGGCUAACUACGUG
rnacentral:rRNA from 1 species